rnacentral:rRNA from 1 species
UACUGAUUCCCUAGUACGGCGAGUGAAGCGGGAAGAGCUCAAAUUUGAAAUCUGGUAGCCUUCGGUUGCCCGAGUUGUAAUCUAGAGAAGUGUUUUCCGCGUUGGCCCAUGUACAAGUCCCUUGGAACAGGGCGUCAUAGAGGGUGAGAAUCCCGUCCUUGACAUGGACCCCCAAUGCUUUGUGAUACACUUUCAACGAGUCGAGUUGUUUGGGAAUGCAGCUCAAAAUGGGUGGUGAAUUCCAUCUAAAGCUAAAUAUUGGCGAGAGACCGAUAGCGAACAAGUACCGUGAGGGAAAGAUGAAAAGCACUUUGGAAAGAGAGUUAAACAGUACGUGAAAUUGUUGAAAGGGAAACGAUUGAAGUCAGUCAUGCUCUUUGGAUUAAGCCGUUCUGCGGUGUAUUUCAUUGAGCGGGGUCAACAUCAGUUUUGAUCGCUGGAAAAGGGCAGGAGGAAGGUAGCACUCUCGGGUGAACUUAUAGCCUCUUGUCGUAUACAGUGAUUGGGACUGAGGAACGCAGCAUGCCUUUUGGCCGGGAUUCGUCCACGUACAUGCUUAGGAUGUUGACAUAAUGGCUUUAAACGACCCGUCUUGAACACGGGGACCAAAAA